GAUGAACGCUGGCGGCGUGCCUAAUACAUGCAAGUCGAGCGAACGGACGAGAAUUUUGCUUCUCUGAUGUUAGCGGCGGACGGGUGAGUAACACGUGGAUAACCUACCUAUAAGACUGGGAUAACUUCUGGAAACCGGAGCUAAUACCGGAUAAUAUUUUGAACCGCAUGGUUCAAAAGUGAAAGACGGUCUUGCUGUCACUUAUAGAUGGAUCCGCGCUGCAUUAGCUAGUUGGUAAGGUAACGGCUUACCAAGGCAACGAUGCAUAGCCGACCUGAGAGGGUGAUCGGCCACACGGGAACUGAGACACGGUCCAGACUCCUACGGGAGGCAGCAGUAGGGAAUCUUCCGCAAUGGGCGAAAGCCUGACGGAGCAACGCCGCGUGAGUGAUGAAGGUCGUCGGAUCGUAAAACUCUGUUAUUAGGGAAGAACAUAUGUGUAAGUAACUGUGCACAUCUUGACGGUACCUGAUCAGAAAGCCACGGCUAACUACGUG
rnacentral:rRNA from 1 species